UGGGGAAUUUUGCACAAUGGGCGCAAGCCUGAUGCAGCCAUGCCGCGUGUAUGAAGAAGGCCUUCGGGUUGUAAAGUACUUUCAGCGGGGAGGAAGGGAGUAAAGUUAAUACCUUUGCUCAUUGACGUUACCCGCAGAAGAAGCACCGGCUAACUCCGUGCCAGCAGCCGCGGUAAUACGGAGGGUGCAAGCGUUAAUCGGAAUUACUGGGCGUAAAGCGCACGCAGGCGGUUUGUUAAGUCAGAUGUGAAAUCCUCGGGCUCAACCUGGGAACUGCAUCUGAUACUGGCAAGCUUGAGUCUCGUAGAGAGGGGUAGAAUUCCAGGUGUAGCGGUGGAAUGCGUAGAGAUCUGGAGGAAUACCGGUGGCGAAGGCGGCCCCCUGGACGAAGACUGACGCUCGGGUGCGAAAGCGUGGGGAGCAAACAGG
rnacentral:rRNA from 1 species